GGGAGUGUGGCUCAGUGGUAGAGCACUUGCCUUGAAUGUAUGAGGCACUGGGUUCAAUCCUCAGCAUCA
rnacentral:tRNA from 1 species